rnacentral:misc_RNA from 1 species
GAAGAACAAGAUCACAAUUACAAAUGAUAAAGGAAGAUUAAGCAAGGAAGACAUUGAGAGGAUGGUUCAAGAAGCGGAGAGGUACAAGGAAGAGGAUGAGUCCAUGAAGAAAAAGGUUGAGGCGAAGAAUGCAUUGGAGAACUAUGCCUACAGCAUGAAGAACACAGUGAGGGAUGAGAAAUUCUCAGGGAAAUUGGAUCCAUCUGACAAACAGAAGAUUGAGAAGGCUGUGGAUGAGACAAUUGAAUGGUUGGAUGGGAACCAAUUGGCUGAAGUAGAUGAAUUUGAGGAUAAAUUGAAGGAGUUGGAGAC